UACGUAGGGACCAAGCGUUGUCCGGAAUCAUUGGGCGUAAAGAGCGUGUAGGCGGCUUGUUAAGUCUUGUGUGAAAUCUACGGGCUCAACCCCGACGCGGUCAUGAGAACGUGGCAGGCUAGAGUGCGGGAGAGGAGAGGUGGAAUUCCUGGUGUAGCGGUGAAAUGCGCAGAUAUCAGGAAGAACACCCGUGGCGAAGGCGGCUCUCGUGGAACGCAACUGACGCUGAGACGACGAAGCGUGGGGAGCAAACAGG
rnacentral:rRNA from 1 species